AUUCUCUUUUUUUUUGUCACGUUUCCUAUCAAUACGUCGCCCCGAAGAAAGAACCUCGGAUAAACCGACCUGACAUAGUGCAUUUAAAUGACUUAGAAACAAGAUGAGUCUUAUUUUGAUUAAAUGCCCAGUUAAAUGCGAUGGAAUUUGUUCAGACCAAGGUAUCAAUUGAAACACGCGCGCCUUAAGGUGGUGUUACUAAGAAAUCAUGGACAACGAACAACUUAUUCAAUAUAAUUGCAGAUGAAAGAUAAUGUAAAAUGUAAAGUUCCUUGUCCAUUUUGUAUACCGUCAUGCAUUGUUAAACACUGAACUGCAUUUAAUUAUAUUACGUGUUGUGCUUUUACACAUCUGUCAACUCUUUGACAUGACUGAAAGAUAAAUCUCCAAGCAUUACAUUGUUUCUUGCGUGAAUUGACGCGAAGAUGUGGCAAAGCACUACAAUACAAAUGAUAACAUUUAUUGAAAGAAGGGACUACCUUUGUUUCAAAUUACGUCAAAAGAAAAUUAAUUUUGUCCUUAUUUCGUUUUUGCCAUACAAAAUUGUACUAUUAUUAUACUCUGCUUGCUGUGCGCUACAGUUAGACAAGUUAAGUCAGCAUCCAAGGUUUCUCGCGUCUGUUUAUCAAGAAUAUUUUGAAGAGUUAUGUGACAGGCUCAUUAUGUGAAUAUAAUGAUUUAUCAUCUCA